UUUUUUAUGCUCUGCUGAGUAAGAAGAGAGGUGAGCUCAGCUUUCUGACAGCUGGCCUGAAACCUCUGCUUGGAUGAUCUGUUCAUGUGACGGUUUUGCUAUAAGUUUGCUUAUAUUUAUAGCCGAUGCACUUAAAAGAAAGCGAGUCAUUUUCGUGUUUAAGAAACUGAUGAAUCGGGUACAACAAAUACAGUGCCUGUCGGAGCCGAGCCCAGGCCAGGGAAAAGGAACUGGGACAGGAAAAAUAAGGAAAGGGCGGGAAGCAAAAAAAACACACGGAGGGGUUGUUUUGAGAGCCCCAAUCGUUUAUUACCCUCGAUUUUCAGUGGCUGAAAUUUCAGCCUCGCUGUGAGGAGAAACUCGAACUGGUGGUCCAGCUGUCCACAGCCUGCCAGAGUCAAGAAAACCUCCACCGCACACGCUCUCACAAACCCACUCCCACACUUUUCCCC
ensembl:lncRNA